rnacentral:misc_RNA from 1 species
GAUGAAGAACGUAGUGAAAUGCGAUAAGUAGUGUGAAUUGCAGAAUUCAGUGAAUCAUCGAAUCUUUGAACGCACAUUGCGCCCCUUGGUAUCCCGAGGGGCAUGCCUGUUCGAGCGUCAUUUCACCACUCAAGCCUGGCUGGGUGUUGGGCGACGUCCCCUUUGGGGACGCGCCUCGAAACGCUCGGCGGCGUGGCACCGGCUUUAAGCGUAGCAGAAUCUUUCGCUUUGGAAGUCGGGGCCCCGUCUGCCGGAAGACCUACUCGCAAGGUUGACCUCGGAUCAGGCAGGGAUACCCGCUGAACUUAAGCAUAUCAAUAAGCGGAGGA